AUAUCAAACAUAAACUAUAGGAUAUAAUCCCAUGAAAAUAAGAAGGAAGAAAAAAGAGAGAACCAACUACAUGACAAAUGAUACAUGAUAGCAAGAGUAUUUGCUAAUCGAUAUUAAAGCUUUGAGUCUAAUGACUGACAGAGAAGCAUAUGUGUUUGGAUUUAUAUCAAUCAAUCAACCAUUCCUGAUUCUCAUAUUAGUUGGGGUAAACUAAAUAAAUCUCUUUUUUUCAAGGACAUAUGUUUUUGGAUUUAUAUCAAUCAAUCAACUAUUCCUGAUUCUCAUAUUAGUUGGGGUAAACUAAAUAAAUCUCUUUUUUUUCAAGGUGCGGUGCGCAAGGCCUAGACUGUAGUGCAACGCCUAGGCGAUGCGCGAAGGACCGGAUAGCAAGCUACCCUAAUGGACCUUCCCCCUUCAAAAAUUGAGUUAAUAUCGUGUGGGCCGAUGACCCACGUAUCAGAUAUUAAACUGAUAAGAAGCUGUGAACAGAUAAAUCUGUACACCAUUCCUCUUUAUUCAGAUUUAUGUCAUUCCAACUGGCCCUCAGGAUUUCUCGGUUAUAGAAAAAUUAAAUAAUGUUUUUUAAGACAAAUUAAGAGUUCUCCAAAACUAGAAGUUCUCUAUAUCUCACUUAUUCCUAAAAGGAUGUACAUGUCUCUAACUAGAAUAACAGGACUCCUCGCAAACACAUGAACUAGUGUUAUAUAAGUAACUAAUAAGCCUUAAUCCAAAUGAGUUGGAAUCAGUUAUAUGAACCAUUUGCUUCCAUUGCAUUCUGUUCUUAGUUGCGCUUUCGAUUACUGUGAUGCAAUAAAAUGUCAUAACUGACGCAACUCUUAACUUUAAUUUGACAAAGGUUGAUUUUGGCCCACCCUUUUGCACCACAGACAGCAUAGACUUUGUGAAUACUUUUGAGAAUAUAAAGACUUCAAGGAUAACAGCUCAUCUGACAAAUAUACGCCAAUUGGAGGAAUAGGCAGAGAUAAUACAAGAAAUACAUGGAGGCUUUUAUUUGGUAGCCUUAUGAUCACUGAAGUGACGAGUAUAGAAUUUUGCUUUCCAGGUGUAAAUUACGGAGAGAAAAAAGGAGGAACGAGUACUUCACACGUCAUAACAAAUAGGCGUUACCUCUAAUUAAUAUUUCAGGAUGACAAAUAAGCUAAAAAUUUGAAAAGCAAAGUAAUAGCAUAAAAUAGUAGUGAAUAAAGAAAUUGUCAGACAGUAUUUGGUAGCCUUUCAGGGCUGAAUUAUAAGAGAACACUAAGCAUCAGUAACUUCGCAGAUAUCUAGAAGAUGAAUGAGGAAGUGCUAAGGUUAGUACAACAAACCUUUCCAAAAUUAUGGGAUGGUAAUG
rnacentral:lncRNA from 1 species